rnacentral:rRNA from 1 species
UUAAGCGACUAAGCGUACACGGUGGAUGCCCUGGCAGUCAGAGGCGAUGAAGGACGUGCUAAUCUGCGAUAAGCGUCGGUGAGGUGAUAUGAACCGUUAUAACCGGCGAUUUCCGAAUGGGGAAACCCAGUGUGUUUCGACACACUAUCAUUAACUGAAUCCAUAGGUUAAUGAGGCGAACCGGGGGAACUGAAACAUCUAAGUACCCCGAGGAAAAGAAAUCAACCGAGAUUCCCCCAGUAGCGGCGAGCGAACGGGGAGGAGCCCAGAGCCUGAAUCAGUGUGUGUGUUAGUGGAAGCGUCUGGAAAGGCGUGCGAUACAGGGUGACAGCCCCGUACACAAAAAUGCACAUAUUGUGAGCUCGAUGAGUAGGGCGGGACACGUGGUAUCCUGUCUGAAUAUGGGGGGACCAUCCUCCAAGGCUAAAUACUCCUGACUGACCGAUAGUGAACCAGUACCGUGAGGGAAAGGCGAAAAGAACCCCGGCGAGGGGAGUGAAAAAGAACCUGAAACCGUGUACGUACAAGCAGUGGGAGCCUCUUAAUGGGGUGACUGCGUACCUUUUGUAUAAUGGGUCAGCGACUUAUAUUCUGUAGCAAGGUUAACCGAAUAGGGGAGCCGAAGGGAAACCGAGUCUUAACUGGGCGCUAAGUUGCAGGGUAUAGACCCGAAACCCGGUGAUCUAGCCAUGGGCAGGUUGAAGGUUGGGUAACACUAACUGGAGGACCGAACCGACUAAUGUUGAAAAAUUAGCGGAUGACUUGUGGCUGGGGGUGAAAGGCCAAUCAAACCGGGAGAUAGCUGGUUCUCCCCGAAAGCUAUUUAGGUAGCGCCUCGUGAAUUCAUCUCCGGGGGUAGAGCACUGUUUCGGCAAGGGGGUCAUCCCGACUUACCAACCCGAUGCAAACUGCGAAUACCGGAGAAUGUUAUCACGGGAGACACACGGCGGGUGCUAACGUCCGUCGUGAAGAGGGAAACAACCCAGACCGCCAGCUAAGGUCCCAAAGUCAUGGUUAAGUGGGAAACGAUGUGGGAAGGCCCAGACAGCCAGGAUGUUGGCUUAGAAGCAGCCAUCAUUUAAAGAAAGCGUAAUAGCUCACUGGUCGAGUCGGCCUGCGCGGAAGAUGUAACGGGGCUAAACCAUGCACCGAAGCUGCGGCAGCGACACUAUGUGUUGUUGGGUAGGGGAGCGUUCUGUAAGCCUGUGAAGGUGGCCUGUGAGGGUUGCUGGAGGUAUCAGAAGUGCGAAUGCUGACAUAAGUAACGAUAAAGCGGGUGAAAAGCCCGCUCGCCGGAAGACCAAGGGUUCCUGUCCAACGUUAAUCGGGGCAGGGUGAGUCGACCCCUAAGGCGAGGCCGAAAGGCGUAGUCGAUGGGAAACAGGUUAAUAUUCCUGUACUUGGUGUUACUGCGAAGGGGGGACGGAGAAGGCUAUGUUGGCCGGGCGACGGUUGUCCCGGUUUAAGCGUGUAGGCUGGUUUUCCAGGCAAAUCCGGAAAACCAAGGCUGAGGCGUGAUGACGAGGCACUACGGUGCUGAAGCGACAAAUGCCCUGCUUCCAGGAAAAGCCUCUAAGCAUCAGGUAACAUCAAAUCGUACCCCAAACCGACACAGGUGGUCAGGUAGAGAAUACCAAGGCGCUUGAGAGAACUCGGGUGAAGGAACUAGGCAAAAUGGUGCCGUAACUUCGGGAGAAGGCACGCUGAUAUGUAGGUGAAGCGACUUGCUCGUGGAGCUGAAAUCAGUCGAAGAUACCAGCUGGCUGCAACUGUUUAUUAAAAACACAGCACUGUGCAAACACGAAAGUGGACGUAUACGGUGUGACGCCUGCCCGGUGCCGGAAGGUUAAUUGAUGGGGUUAGCGGUAACGCGAAGCUCUUGAUCGAAGCCCCGGUAAACGGCGGCCGUAACUAUAACGGUCCUAAGGUAGCGAAAUUCCUUGUCGGGUAAGUUCCGACCUGCACGAAUGGCGUAAUGAUGGCCAGGCUGUCUCCACCCGAGACUCAGUGAAAUUGAACUCGCUGUGAAGAUGCAGUGUACCCGCGGCAAGACGGAAAGACCCCGUGAACCUUUACUAUAGCUUGACACUGAACAUUGAGCCUUGAUGUGUAGGAUAGGUGGGAGGCUUUGAAGUGUGGACGCCAGUCUGCAUGGAGCCGACCUUGAAAUACCACCCUUUAAUGUUUGAUGUUCUAACGUUGGCCCGUAAUCCGGGUUGCGGACAGUGUCUGGUGGGUAGUUUGACUGGGGCGGUCUCCUCCUAAAGAGUAACGGAGGAGCACGAAGGUUGGCUAAUCCUGGUCGGACAUCAGGAGGUUAGUGCAAUGGCAUAAGCCAGCUUGACUGCGAGCGUGACGGCGCGAGCAGGUGCGAAAGCAGGUCAUAGUGAUCCGGUGGUUCUGAAUGGAAGGGCCAUCGCUCAACGGAUAAAAGGUACUCCGGGGAUAACAGGCUGAUACCGCCCAAGAGUUCAUAUCGACGGCGGUGUUUGGCACCUCGAUGUCGGCUCAUCACAUCCUGGGGCUGAAGUAGGUCCCAAGGGUAUGGCUGUUCGCCAUUUAAAGUGGUACGCGAGCUGGGUUUAGAACGUCGUGAGACAGUUCGGUCCCUAUCUGCCGUGGGCGCUGGAGAACUGAGGGGGGCUGCUCCUAGUACGAGAGGACCGGAGUGGACGCAUCACUGGUGUUCGGGUUGUCAUGCCAAUGGCACUGCCCGGUAGCUAAAUGCGGAAGAGAUAAGUGCUGAAAGCAUCUAAGCACGAAACUUGCCCCGAGAUGAGUUCUCCCUGAGACUUAGAGUCUCCUGAAGGAACGUUGAAGACGACGACGUUGAUAGGCCGGGUGUGUAAGCGCAGCGAUGCGUUGAGCUAACCGGUACUAAUGAACCGUGAGGCUUAACCUU